rnacentral:rRNA from 1 species
GUUGUUUCGGAGUGAGGGCCUCUGGGUCCACCUCCCACCCGUGUUUAUUUUACCUUGUUGCUUCGGCGGCCCCGCCUUAACUGACCACCAGUUCCUCGGCAGGCUCGCCUGCCGGGUGAAACAACUUCAAACCUGUUUAAUUUUCAAUCAGCGUCUGAACAAAUUAAUAAUUACAACUUUCAACAACGGAUCUCUUGGUUCUGGCAUCGAUGAAGAACGCAACGAAAUGCGAUAAGUAGUGUGAAUUGCAAAAUUCAAUGAAUCAUCGAAUCUUUGAACGCACAUUGCGCCCCUUGGUAUUCCAUGGGGCAUGCCUGUUCGAGCGUCAUUUGUACCUUCAAGCUCUGCUUGGUGUUGGGUGUUUGUCCUUGCUCUAGUGGCGGGACUCCCCUUAAAGUAAUUGGCAGCCAGUGUUUUGGUUUUGAAGCGCAGCACAAGUCUCGAUUCAAGUCUAUACGCUAGUUUCCGCAAGUCUUUUAUCACUUUUGACCUCGGAUCAGGUAGGGAUACCAGCUGAACUUAAGCAUAUCAAUAUCCGGAGGAAGAAUCCUAAAAGAAUUUACCUUUUGCGGGUCUCAGGGUCCACCUCCAACCACGUUUAAUAUGCUUGUCGCGUCGAGAGCACUGCUAACGGUUCAACAGGAAAAUUAUUCCCAUUGCCCUACACGAAAAAUACAUAACAGAAGAAAAAUUUUGAUUUCUCUUUGGUGAAAUUUAACACCGGAGAUCUUUCUAUUUGCAAUAGUAUGGCAAUCUGCAACAUUCGUGGAAUCCCAUCUUAUGAAUGCAAGGAGGAGACUUCUUUCUCAAUGAACGAUCGUUUGUCCCUAUAUCCCAUAUGCCCGGGAGUUGUAUAGAUAUCGCACACAAAUUCAUGUACACCUGCUCCAAGUUAAGGAUUGAGUCACCCCCCCCAACUACCUGG